UACGAAGGGUGCAAGCGUUACUCGGAAUUACUGGGCGUAAAGCGUGCGUAGGUGGUUUGUUAAGUCUGAUGUGAAAGCCCUGGGCUCAACCUGGGAAUUGCAUUGGAUACUGGCAGGCUAGAGUGCGGUAGAGGAUGGCGGAAUUCCCGGUGUAGCAGUGAAAUGCGUAGAGAUCGGGAGGAACAUCUGUGGCGAAGGCGGCCAUCUGGACCAGCACUGACACUGAUGCACGAAAGCGUGGGGAUCAAACAGG
rnacentral:rRNA from 1 species